rnacentral:rRNA from 1 species
CUGCAGUCGAGCGGACAGAUGGGAGCUUGCUCCCUGAUGUUAGCGGCGGACGGGUGAGUAACACGUGGGUAACCUGCCUGUAAGACUGGGAUAACUCCGGGAAACCGGGGCUAAUACCGGAUGCUUGAUUGAACCGCAUGGUUCAAUUAUAAAAGGUGGCUUUUAGCUACCACUUACAGAUGGACCCGCGGCGCAUUAGCUAGUUGGUGAGGUAACGGCUCACCAAGGCAACGAUGCGUAGCCGACCUGAGAGGGUGAUCGGCCACACUGGGACUGAGACACGGCCCAAACUCCUACGGGAGGCAGCAGU